rnacentral:rRNA from 1 species
CCAGCCUGCCAGUGACUACAAGUUCAACGGCCGCGGUAUUUUGACCGUGCAAAGGUAGCGCAAUCACUUGUCUUUUAAAUAGAGACCUGUAUGAAUGGCUAAACGAGGGCUUAACUGUCUCCCCUUUCCAGUCAGUGAAAUUGAUCUGCCCGUGCAGAAGCGGACAUAAAAAUACAAGACGAGAAGACCCUUUGGAGCUUAAGGUACAAAACUCAACCGCGUCAAACAACUCAAUAAAAAGCAAAAACUUUGCGGAACAUGAGAUUUUACCUUCGGUUGGGGCGACCACGGAGGAAAACAAAGCCUCCAAGUGGAUUGGGAAAACCUCCUAAAACCAAGAGAGACAUCUCUAAGCCACAGAACAUCUGACCAAACAUGAUCCGGCUGCCCGAAGCCGAUCAACGAACCAAGUUACCCUAGGGAUAACAGCGCAAUCCUCUCCCAGAGUCCAUAUCGACGAGAGGGUUUACGACCUCGAUGUUGGAUCAGGACAUCCUAAUGGUGCAGCCGCUAUUAAGGGUUCGUUUGUUCAACGAUUAAAGUCCUACGUGAUCUGA